GGAAACAAAACGAAUCUAACAUAAACACUCUAGCAAACUAACAUCCUCCACCUAAUCUAUCCCAUCCUCAAGAACCCUAACACUACUCAGAUGCAGAAAUCAUGUUAAACAUCAUGAAACAAGAAUCAUUCAAAACAUGCAUAAUAAUAAAGAUGACAGGAAGAGUAACAACAAUGAUUCAAGAACUAACUACAAAAUAUCAAUAACUCAAAAGAAAUCACGAUUACAAUUCUCAGGAUCGUUUUGGUGGCUAACAACAAAAACCUAAUCAAAUAAAACUCGAUCCC
rnacentral:lncRNA from 1 species